AAUCUCUUCAGUUCUUGGAUUUGUUUACGGGGUGGCGAAAAAGAAAUGAACCCACCCUAGUUACAAAAAAGUUUCCUCUAUUGUUGAUUGUUAUCACUAAGAAACUCAAGCUGGCCACUAUAAAUUACCUAGGCUCUCCGUCUCCUGCUUCACCUGGUCAUUCGAGAAUCCAAUCACAUAUGGACUCAACAUCAUCUCUUGAACAAGAAACCCAUUACAAAUAUGAUGAAUGAGACAUUCAAACACCGAAUAGUGGCGGCAAGAGGAAAAAAACUCCGCCAACUAGUAGAGCAACCAACCUCUCAACCGAGCAAAGUGAACCGUAUUGUCCCUACAAGAUCAGAAGUUUGGGAUCAUUACACAAUAACUAAAGAAGAUCGAGAAAUAUGUCCAUGCAACUAGUGCCAUAAAAAAUUUCCAUGUCUCACAAUCCCCGGGACCUCAAAUCUGAGGAACCAUCUUGCUUGGUCAGCUGGAAAAAAAAGAUAAGCAGCCCGUUAUUGAAGAUGAUGAGAAACUUAAGAAGGUAAAAUUGACUGAAGGUCAGUUUAGAAGAACCACAAAUCAGAUGCUUGUGUUAGGGUAAUUUCUUAUAUCAUUUGUUGAAAGUGUAGUAUGGAAACAUUUCUGCGACAAGUAAAUUCUCUACUUCUCUUCUAUGUAUAUUUUUGCCUUUAUCAUUUGUUAUAGCUAGUUUUAUGUUUUCUGUUUGUAGACAACCGUGUUCACUCCUAAUUCAAGAAAAACCUCGACUAAAUACAUUGUUACGACAUAUGUGGAAAAUAAAGAUGCACUUAAGAAA